GUUGUAUAGUCAAGUAAUUAAGUGCAUGUGGUGGAUGCCUUGGCAGUCAGAGGCGAUGAAAGACGUGAUAGCCUGCGAAAAGCUCCGGGGAGGCGGCAAAUAUCCUUUGAUCCGGAGAUGUCUGAAUGGGGGAACCCACCUACUUUAAGGUAGGUAUUGCAACAUGAAUACAUAGUGUUGCAAGGCGAACGAGGGGAAGUGAAACAUCUCAGUACCCUUAGGAAAAGAAAUCAAUUGAGAUUCCCUCAGUAGCGGCGAGCGAACGGGGAUCAGCCCAUUAAGUUAUGUGUGUUUUAGUGGAACGCUCUGGGAAGUGCGAACGUAGAGGGUGAUAUUCCCGUACACGAAAGGGCACACAUAAUGAUGACGAGUAGGGCGAGGCACGUGAAACCUUGUCUGAAUAUGGGGGACCAUCCUCCAAGGCUAAAUACUCCUGACUGACCGAUAGUGAACCAGUACCGUGAGGGAAAGGCGAAAAGAACCCCUGUGAGGGGAGUGAAAUAGAUCCUGAAACCGCAUGCAUACAAGCAGUGGGAGCACCUUCGUGGUGUGACUGCGUACCUUUUGUAUAAUGGGUCAGCGACUUAUAUUCAGUAGCGAGGUUAACCGUAUAGGGGAGCCGUAGAGAAAUCGAGUCUUAAUAGGGCGUUUAGUUGCUGGGUAUAGACCCGAAACCAGGCGAUCUAUCCAUGAGCAGGUUGAAGGUUGGGUAACACUAACUGGAGGACCGAACCCACUGUCGUUGAAAAGCCAGGGGAUGACUUGUGGAUAGGGGUGAAAGGCUAAUCAAGCCUGGUGAUAGCUGGUUCUCCCCGAAAGCUAUUUAGGUAGCGCCUCGGACGAAUACCAUAGGGGGUAGAGCACUGUUUCGGCUAGGGGGUCAUCCCGACUUACCAAACCGAUGCAAACUCCGAAUACCUAUGAGUACUAUCCGGGAGACAGACUGCGGGUGCUAACGUCCGUAGUCAAGAGGAAAACAAUCCAGACCGCCAGCUAAGGCCCCAAAAUCAUAGUUAAGUGGGAAACGAUGUGGGAAGGCAUAGACAGCUAGGAGGUUGGCUUAGAAGCAGCCACCCUUUAAAGAAAGCGUAAUAGCUCACUAGUCGAGUCGGCCUGCGCGGAAGAUGUAACGGGGCUAAAACUAUGUGCCGAAGCUGCGGAUGUAUACUUUGUAUACGUGGUAGGGGAGCGUUCUGUAAGCCGAUGAAGGUGUGUUGAGAAGCAUGCUGGAGGUAUCAGAAGUGCGAAUGCUGACGUGAGUAACGACAAAACGGGUGAAAAACCCGUUCGCCGAAAGACCAAGGGUUCCAGUCCAACGUUAAUCGGGGCUGGGUGAGUCGACCCCUAAGGCGAGGCCGAAAGGCGUAGUCGAUGGGAAAAUGGUUAAUAUUCCAUUACUUCUGUGUAAUGCGAUGAGAGGACGGAGAAGGCUAAAUCAGCCUGGCGUUGGUUGUCCAGGUGAAAGGAAGUAGGCAUGUAUCUUAGGCAAAUCCGGGGUACUCUAUGCUGAGAUCUGAUAGCAAGCUGUACUUGUACAGCGAAGUGGUUGAUGCCAUGCUUCCAGGAAAAGUCUCUAAGCUUCAGUUACACAGGAAUCGUACCCGAAACCGACACAGGUGGUCAGGUCGAGUAGACCAAGGCGCUUGAGAGAACUCUGCUGAAGGAACUAGGCAAAAUGGUACCGUAACUUCGGGAGAAGGUACGCUGUUGUUGGUGAUGGAACUCGCUUCCUGAGCUGACGACAGCCGCAGAAACCAGGCCGCUGCAACUGUUUAUUAAAAACAUAGCACUCUGCAAACACGAAAGUGGACGUAUAGGGUGUGAUGCCUGCCCGGUGCUGGAAGGUUAAUUGAUGGGGUUAGCGUAAGCGAAGCUCUUGAUCGAAGCCCCAGUAAACGGCGGCCGUAACUAUAACGGUCCUAAGGUAGCGAAAUUCCUUGUCGGGUAAGUUCCGACCUGCACGAAUGGCAUAAUGAUGGCGGCGCUGUCUCCAGCAGAGGCUCAGUGAAAUCGAAAUCGCUGUGAAGAUGCAGUGUACCCGCGGCUAGACGGAAAGACCCCGUGAACCUUUACUGCAGCUUGACACUGAACUUUGACCUUACUUGUGUAGGAUAGGUGGGAGGCUUUGAAGCUGGAACGCUAGUUCCAGUGGAGCCGUCCUUGAAAUACCACCCUGGUAAUGUUGAGGUUCUAACUCUGUCCCGUGAUCCGGGACGAGGACCGUGUCUGGUGGGUAGUUUGACUGGGGCGGUCUCCUCCUAAAGAGUAACGGAGGAGUACGAAGGUGCGCUCAGCGUGGUCGGAAAUCACGCGUAGAGUAUAAAGGCAAAAGCGCGCUUAACUGCGAGACCCACAAGUCGAGCAGGUACGAAAGUAGGUCUUAGUGAUCCGGUGGUUCUGUAUGGAAGGGCCAUCGCUCAACGGAUAAAAGGUACUCUGGGGAUAACAGGCUGAUACCGCCCAAGAGUUCAUAUCGACGGCGGUGUUUGGCACCUCGAUGUCGGCUCAUCUCAUCCUGGGGCUGAAGCAGGUCCCAAGGGUAUGGCUGUUCGCCAUUUAAAGAGGUACGCGAGCUGGGUUUAGAACGUCGUGAGACAGUUCGGUCCCUAUCUACCGUGGGCGCUGGAAAUUUGAGAGGAUCUGCUCCUAGUACGAGAGGACCAGAGUGGACGAACCUCUGGUGUACCGGUUGUGACGCCAGUCGCAUCGCCGGGUAGCUAUGUUCGGAAGGGAUAACCGCUGAAAGCAUCUAAGCGGGAAGCCUACCUCAAGAUAAGAUUUCCCUAGGACUUUAUGUCCUCUAAAGAGCCGUUCGAGACUAGGACGUUGAUAGGUUGGAUGUGGAAGCAUAGUGAUAUGUGAAGCUGACCAAUACUAAUUGCUCGUGAGGCUUGACUAUACAACACCCAAGCAGUUG
rnacentral:rRNA from 1 species